rnacentral:rRNA from 1 species
AGAGUUUGAUCAUGGCUCAGGACGAACGCUGGCGGCGUGCUUAACACAUGCAAGUCGAACGAUGAUGCCCAGCUUGCUGGGUGGAUUAGUGGCGAACGGGUGAGUAACACGUGAGUAACCUGCCCUUGACUUCGGGAUAACUCCGGGAAACCGGGGCUAAUACCGGAUAUGAGCUACCUUCGCAUGGGGGUGGUUGGAAAGUUUUUCGGUCAGGGAUGGGCUCGCGGCCUAUCAGCUUGUUGGUGGGGUGAUGGCCUACCAAGGCGACGACGGGUAGCCGGCCUGAGAGGGCGACCGGCCACACUGGGACUGAGACACGGCCCAGACUCCUACGGGAGGCAGCAGUGGGGAAUAUUGCACAAUGGGCGAAAGCCUGAUGCAGCGACGCCGCGUGAGGGAUGAAGGCCUUCGGGUUGUAAACCUCUUUCAGCAGGGAAGAAGCGCAAGUGACGGUACCUGCAGAAGAAGCGCCGGCUAACUACGUGCCAGCAGCCGCGGUAAUACGUAGGGCGCAAGCGUUGUCCGGAAUUAUUGGGCGUAAAGAGCUCGUAGGCGGUUUGUCGCGUCUGGUGUGAAAACCCGAGGCUCAACCUCGAGCUUGCAUCGGGUACGGGCAGACUAGAGUGCGGUAGGGGAGACUGGAAUUCCUGGUGUAGCGGUGGAAUGCGCAGAUAUCAGGAGGAACACCGAUGGCGAAGGCAGGUCUCUGGGCCGCAACUGACGCUGAGGAGCGAAAGC